rnacentral:rRNA from 1 species
GACGAACGCUGGCGGCGUGCUUAACACAUGCAAGUCGAACGAAGAGCGAUGGAAGCUUGCUUCUAUCAAUCUUAGUGGCGAACGGGUGAGUAACGCGUAAUCAACCUGCCCUUCAGAGGGGGACAACAGUUGGAAACGACUGCUAAUACCGCAUACGAUCUAAUCUCGGCAUCGAGGAAAGAUGAAAGGUGGCCUCUAUUUAUAAGCUAUCACUGAAGGAGGGGAUUGCGUCUGAUUAGCUAGUUGGAGGGGUAACGGCCCAUCAAGGCGAUGAUCAGUAGCCGGUCUGAUAGGAUGAACGGCCACAUUGGGACUGAGACACGGCCCAGACUCCUACGGGAGGCAGCAGUGGGGAAUCUGCCGCAAUGGACGAAAGUCUGACGGAGCAACGCCGCGUGAGUGAUGACGGCCGUCGGGUUGUAAAGCUCUGUUAAUCGGGACGAAAGGCCUUCUUGCGAACAGUUAGAAGGAUUGACGGUACCGGAAUAGAAAGCCACGGCUAACUACGUG